rnacentral:rRNA from 1 species
GUGGGGAAUUUUGGACAAUGGGCGCAAGCCUGAUCCAGCAAUGCCGCGUGCAGGAAGAAGGCCUUCGGGUUGUAAACUGCUUUUGUACGGAACGAAACGGUCCUGGCUAAUACCUGGGGCUAAUGACGGUACCGUAAGAAUAAGCACCGGCUAACUACGUGCCAGCAGCCGCGGUAAUACGUAGGGUGCGAGCGUUAAUCGGAAUUACUGGGCGUAAAGCGUGCGCAGGCGGUGCUGUAAGACAGGCGUGAAAUCCCCGGGCUCAACCUGGGAAUUGCGCUUGUGACUGCAGUGCUGGAGUGCGGCAGAGGGGGAUGGAAUUCCGCGUGUAACAGUGAAAUGCGUAGAUAUGCGGAGGAACACCGAUGGCGAAGGCAAUCCCCUGGGCCUGCACUGACGCUCAUGCACGAAAGCGUGGGGAGCAAACAGGAUUAGAUACCCGGGUAGUCC